rnacentral:lncRNA from 1 species
AAGAGACGCGGAGACAGACUACUGGGACUGCGACGUCUCCUCUCAUGUUCGCUGCGAUAUGCCGGCGUUGUGUUGAGCGGGCUGCGGACACUGACAGCCUGGCCCCACUGAGUGUUUGAUCCCCAUCCUCGCAGCUCUCUGGAGGACCAGAGUUGGCGGUGCAGCCCAGUGGAGCUUCGAAGCGACAUGUCCUCCAACAUUUUAGCCCAGCAAGUCUUGUGGCCCCUGAGGAUAUAACCCAGAGAGGGCUGCUUUCUGGUAUUUCUCAGCUGUGGUGCAAGUGGAGUACAUACAGCU